CCCGAGUCGUUACAAGCGGCAUCGAACGUAAAUUGACGCCCAAGUUCGGUCUCAACCCUUCGAAAUUCAUCACGAAGGAACAUCCGAUCACAUAUCAACGGAUCGCAAACGGGCGGAGCAACAGAGUCCCUAAUCUUCAAGUCAGGCUCGGCAGAAGAGACUUGGUCUACACGUGCUACAGCACUAACGGCCUGCUUGAAAGACACCCCCUCGUGCUUGCCAGCGUCCUAAUUAGCCGGUCGGUUCGCGUUUAGACUAGCCGUCUUCUCCUGUAGUCGGGCCAUCUGCUCCUGCAGGUGGCGAAGGCAGUCCUUCUUGUGCUCUUCCCAAGUCUGGUUCGCCGGUUUGAGGCGAGAGCACAUCCGACACUUGAGAAGAGUACCGGACGUUGACGUCCGCGGUUUCUUCGCACGAACCGUUUCCCAGGCCUGUUUGGAAGGGGACCGAGGGCGAGAUUGCUUAGGGCGAGAGGAGGAAGUAAUCUUAGACGGGCCAGCUUGCGUAGUAACUACAGCAAGCUGUGCUUUGUCCUUUCCGGCUUUCCACCGAACCUCCUGCACUCUGGGAAAAGGGGGGUCAUUUUACCCGUAAUUUUGGGUCAAUCCAC
rnacentral:lncRNA from 1 species